AGAGAGGUUCCACUUUGCAUUAGCAGCUCAUGCUUCAGCGCUCUGCGAGUGUUUAUAGCCCUGUGACUUUAACACUUCAUGACUGAGAGCUGCUGCUCAGCGACUUCACCCACAGCAACCAUGAGUUUGAUCAGCGUCUUCAUCUGCACACUGGCCCUCUGCGCUCGAGGAUCCAGAGGUCAGGUGACUGUGACUCAGAGUCCUGCAGUGAAAUCAGUUUCUCCAGGAGACACAGUAACCAUCAGCUGUAAAACCAGUCCUGAUGUUUACAGUGAUUAUUUGUCCUGGUAUCAGCAGAAACCUGGAGAAGCUCCUAAACUCCUGAUCUAUGCUGCUGACACUAGAGCAUCAGGUAUUCCAUCACGUUUCAGUGGCAGUGGAUCUGGAUCUGAUUUCACUCUGACCAUCAGUGGAGUCCAGACUGAAGAUGUUGGAGAUUAUUACUGUCAGAGUUACCAUUAUAUCAGUAGUAGCUACGUGUUCACACAGUGUUAGAGCGUCGUACAAAAACCUGUGUGAGUGUGACUGCUGCAGCUGGGACCUACUGCAGGUGCUGAGGGACACACACACACACACACACACACACACACACACACACACACUACAGUAAUUAGACACAUUACACAGACAUUUACACGUGUAUGAAUUUAAUAUUUUUCAAACAAAACAUUUCAGUUAUUAAAAUAUUCAGUUUUCAUCAACCUUCAGUUCGUCUACAUACAAAACAAUCAUCUAAAAUCCAACACAGAAAUCCCCUGAGGAGUUUCCCCCUAAAAUAAGUCCCUCUGCCCCUGUGGAGUUCCACCUCAUAUCCACAGAAAAGCACCAGGACACGACUCAUUUAAUAAACAUGUUAUUUACCCCAUCCUAAUUAUAAUUA